CAGACACAGGACUGAAGAGGAAGACAUGAGCAGAGUCUCCUCCACACACGCAGGCGUCUACAUUGACCUGAAGGGAAUUCAACAGUUAUGAGGGAGUGACGGCGUCCUCAGAUCAGAUGCAGGCAGACACAGGACUGAUGAGGAAGAGAUGAGCAGAGAUACAUGAAGCAUGAAGGUGGUUCAAUUGACCUGAAGGGAAUUCAGAAGGUUCGACACCACAACAGAUCCUCCAGGAAUCUCCAGAGGACGUUUGAGCCUGCCAACCUGCAAGAUGGAAACCACUGAUCCAAAGAUCCACCGUGAGAGACCAGACCCUCCUGGACCAGACCCUCCUGGACCUGGACCUGGACCUGGACCCAGCUGUGUGUCCAUGAAGAGUGACACGUCUAUUACAUCUGAAGAUGAAGAGCUAUUUGAUCAAUGG